rnacentral:tRNA from 1 species
GCCUCGUUAGCUCAGUCGGUAGAGCGCACGCCUUUUAAGCGAACGUCGACGAACACGCGUGCUGAGAACGAUUCACCUCGUUCGGUGCUAUCGCGAGAGAUAGCGUGUGGUCAUGGGUUCGAGCCCCAUACGCGGUA